rnacentral:misc_RNA from 1 species
UUAGGGAGACCUACACCCCUUAUAUAUCGAAAAGCAUACAGUUAAAUAGAUAGUAAGUUGGUCUAGCCUAGGUCGGUCGAGAUUGGUAUAAAGCUUUCAAAGUAUUAAUGGUUCAGAAUAUUAAAUAAAAAAAAUAUUGAGAGUUCAGCAACAUGACUUAAUUGAAGUCAGACUGCUGAGUUAGUACUCAGUCAGAACCUUGAAAACUGCAUAGUAACGCGAAAAAAGCAGGCAGAGACAGACAUUCUGUAUUGAAUUGUAUGUGAAUGCAAAUUGUGAAAGACCAAAUAUUUGAGUG